UUACAGUCAUUAUUAAUACAGCAUAUUACUGGCUUUAAGCCUUUGUGGAAUACAGAGAGACUUAAGUGUGUGUUCAACUGUUUUCCAGAAGCAAAGAAAAGGAAGUAGAGAACCGUAUGAACUUUUGAGACCAGCUACAGGAAUACCAAAUACUCGGUCUUGGAACUUUGAAUUUCUUCCACAGUGUAGUCACAACAUGAUGUGGAGAAGCAGACUCUGUUCUCCAUUCCUGCCUGGAUACGCUGUUUAAACAUCACCCUCUACAACCCAAAAGAAAUUGUGUGCUCUAUCAAGGUACUCACUAGAAAAAUAUUGGUGAACCUGAAUGGACAAAUGGCAAGUGAUAAUCUGUAAGCAGACAAAAAGCCCAGAAUUCACCAUUGUGCCAUUUGGUAGGGCCAAACUUGGGCAAGGCUGGAUAUGAUCUGGAAGCUGCAUGUUUACAGGAGGGUAUUGUGAACGUGCUGGUCAUGUAUUGAAAACUCAAUUUCAUCACAACUGAAGUGAUAAUAAAGAAAUGUCCAAGAAAAUGUGCAAAGCAGCCAUGUGGCAUGAAGAGUGUAAUGCUUACUUUGAGAUUAAAUGGACAACAAAAACCUCCAUGAAAGAUGUCAUUAAGAAUCCCAUGUUAAGCUACUGCAAGCACGAAUGUUGUCUGAAUCAGUUAUCACCAGUUCACAUCCACAACAGUGCAGCCCUGCACACAAGUGUUCCGCCCAGUGCUAUUUUGAAAAUCUAGAAAGAUAUGAUCUACAGCAUUUGGGAGCAUGUCAAAAUUCAUGAGGUUUUCCGAGAAAUAUUUUGGCAUUGAUGCCUUGAUCCUAUGGACCUCAACCAGUUACUUCCACUGAAAUGAAUGAUAUCAAAAGAAACAAUUCCUUCUAUAAGACCCUCUCCAUUUUAGUGAGGACACGCUGAGGUCUGGUACUGCACAAGGGCUCAGUUCUUAAAGAACACAGUGCAGCCCUUCAAAUUAUA